rnacentral:rRNA from 1 species
CCUACGGGAGGCAGCAGUGAGGAAUAUUGGUCAAUGGACGAGAGUCUGAACCAGCCAAGUAGCGUGAAGGAUGACUGCCCUAUGGGUUGUAAACUUCUUUUAUAUGGGAAUAAAAUGUUCCACGUGUGGGCUUUUGUAUGUACCAUAUGAAUAAGGAUCGGCUAACUCCGUGCCAGCAGCCGCGGUAAUACGGAGGAUGCGAGCGUUAUCCGGAUUUAUUGGGUUUAAAGGGAGCGUAGGUGGGUUGUUAAGUCAGUUGUGAAAGUCUGCGGCUCAACCGUAAAAUUGCAGUUGAAACUGGCAGUCUUGAGUACAGUAGAGGUAGGCGGAAUUCGUGGUGUAGCGGUGAAAUGCUUAGAUAUCACGAAGAACUCCGAUUGCGAAGGCAGCUCACUGGACUGCAACUGACACUGAGGCUCGAAAGUGUGGGUAUCAAACAGGAUUAGAUACCCUUGUAGUC